GAAGACACCUGUUUCAGCUUGACACUUUUUGGGGAGGGCUACUCUGAGGGUACAGACCCCGCACAGGGCCGACCCAACGCAAAGAUCUGCACUCAGGUCAUCGGAGCAGAGCCUGGGUAUGUAGCUACAGUUUCUGCUAUGGUGCAAGCAGCCGUAACGUUGCUGAAUGAACUGCACUCUCUCCCCAGGAGGGGAGGGGUGUACACACCAGGAGCUGCCUUCUAUAAAACCAGCCUCAUCGACCGCCUCCAUAACCACAGCAUCAAGUUCUCAGUCAGAAACUAGCCCUUUAACAGUGACACUACUGUAAAGAUCACGCCACCUUUCAGUUACAGUGUAAUGGUUUUGUAUUGAUGCUCACUAAAGAUGUUGGCCAACCUUUCAUCCAGUCAAUAUUACCACAUUUUAUGAGUGUCGCUGUAAAAUCGCUGAACCCUGCAUCUAUUGCUUGUUUGUUAAUUGGUUUAUUAAUAGUGACAGCUGGUAAAAUACAUACUAAAACCUCGAGAGUUUCAAUUUCCCCUUUUUUAAAACAUCAAAUAAAGUUAAACCAAACUUAUCAGGAAAAAUUAACCCUUGAACCAAAAUCUGAGUGACAAGAACUACUUAAAUUGUCAGACUUUUUUAAAAUUUGACUUUAUAAAGGGGAUGGGGGUUAUGACCUAUACUGCAGCCAGAUAACAGGAGAUUGAGACGUUUUGACUUCACAUCUGUGGCGCUAUCAUGUCAUCUGUCUUUGUCAACAUCUUACGUUUUAGUCAAAUUGGAGUGAAUUCAAAGAUCUCAGUCAACAUGUGAAUUUGUAAUUUAAAUGUAAAAAAUGAAAAAACCUUAUGUCAAUAUUCAAAGCACUCUAUUGCAAAAAAAUAUUAUUGAAAAGAAACUUUUAAAAGUACUGUGCAUUUGUUUUGUUUUAUAUUUUGAAUAUUGUUUAUAAUCAAUAAUGUAGUAAGUACUGUUAUGACACAUGAUAAAGCUCCUGUUCAGCUGCUUGACAAAGUCUCUGUCUAUGAUCCAUGUUUUCUAAUUUUUGUAUGUAAGAGACAAAUACCUCUAAGUGUUCUUACAAGCUGUGGGGAAAGGACAUUAUUUUCAGUUUUCUUAAAAAUGUAUUAUUGUCUCAGUAGAGUACCAGAACCACAACUGAAAAAAGUCCCCGGUAAAUGCACUAUUUACUGCUGAGUAAAACUGGUAAAGACCACAAGAGGCAUUUUUGACCCCUUUAAAAGAAAAUUAAGCAUUAUUAGUGGGAACCAAUAUAAUAGGGUAGAAAAGUCUCUAAGGACUGAGUGUUUUUGGCCUUUUCAUGUGACUUGUUGAGUACUUUCAGGUCUUUGAACUUAAUGUAUAAAGUUAAAUGCACAGAAGAAAAAUUUAAGAUUGUUUAUUGAUGGAUUUUUUGUGUACAUUUAACCAGGAACUGCAAUUCAGUACAAUUUUGAAGUAGUUGUGCUUUACUUGUGCAUUUAUUUAUUAAUAUAUUAUACUUAUUAUAGUUAUUAUACCUAUAAUACAAAUUGAAUAAAAUCAACAAAUGACUGAUGUAUUCCUAUGGAUAAAGAUAAGACUGCAUUAAUACCUUCUACAUUGGAGCAUGUAAUUUAAAAAAAAAUGCAAAGCAAAACAAACAAAAAAAACAAACAGUAUAAUACUAUUAUUAAGUCCCUUAAAAAUAAUGUACAUAUGAAUGCAUCUUUAAUUAUAAUUUAAUCGCUUACUAUACAGUAAGUAUGAUUGUGAAAUGGGCCAGUCUAGAUGAUGUAUACUUUUACUUUUUGUAUCUUACAUAUAUUUUGAUGAUAGUAUUGUUGUACUUUUACUGAAGUAAAAUUUAAUAUGCAAGACUUAUUUGUAAUAGAGCACUAAUACACUGCAGUUUAAAUAUGUGAGUAGUUCUAUCAGUCCAUUUUUAAAUUAAUUCAAUUUUUAGGAGGUGGAUAUGGUGAUCCUGAAGGUCAAAACAUGACAAAAUUUAAGAAAACUACAAAAUUUCACAAACACAAUAUUUUAUUAAACU